AUGGUGGAACCAGUGAAGCUCAUCGGAGGCUUUGGCAGCCCGUUCGUCCACCGAGCCGAGGUCGCCUUGCGUCUCAAAGGAGUGCCCUACGAGCUCAUCCUAGAGGACAUGACUAACAAGAGCGAGCUGUUGCUGAAGCACAAUCCCGUCCACAAGAAGGUCCAUGUGCUCCUCCACGGGGACAAGGCUGUCUGCGAGUCUCUCCUCAUUGUCGAGUACGUCGACGAGGCCUUUGACGGGCCACCCAUCCUGUCGACUGACCCUCAUGAAAGGUCUGAGGCCCGCUUCUGGUCCAAAUUCUUUGUGGGAAAGUUGGCAUUGUGGACGGAGGAGGGCGAGGAUCAGAAGGUCUUUGUUAUGGACGCAAAAGAGAAUCUCGCCCUAGUGGAGGCGCAGCUGAGCCAGAAGAGGUUCUUCGGAGGCGCCACAAUUGGCCUCGCUGACAUCGCUGGUGUCAGCCUACUAUCCCGCUGGGCAAGCGUGAUGCAAGGGGUCGCUGGGGUGAGCGUGAUGACAGACGAUGAGUAUGCUGCUAUCCACCGGUGGAUGGAGGACUACAACGCUGACGAAGCUUUAAGGAGUGCUUGCCGGACAGAGACCAUCUCAUCUCCUACUUCACCACGAUCAGGGGAAAGUGCGUCUCCGCGGCCAAGUCCAUGCUACCCAAUUAUCUAG
rnacentral:rRNA from 1 species